CCAAGAAACAUUAACGCAAAUUUUCAUGCCGAAUUUGUAAAGCGGAUAGCAGCCAAGAAAGAACAAAGUGAAAAGAUUAAGGCAUUCAAGAAGCACAAGUUUGUUUCUUGGAAAAUCCACAAACGGAAAUUUUCGGCCUUUCACUGUCCUUCCCGUUUCCACUCUGUUUUUUAAGUUCAGAAUUUGCCCUCCUUCACUAAGUUAGGGACUGAUUUUUUCGAAAUAAAAAAAUGAUAUCAGGACAUCGGAAAGAUGAAAAAAUGACCUCGAAUUUUGUAUUUUCAAUUUCAUGAGCUUUCCCUAGAAAGAUACAAAUGCUGGGCGGCAUAUAUCGCCACAUACAAACCGCCACGCGUAAAAUGCAUUGCGCCUAACCCUUAACGCUGUAUUUCCUCCGCUUACUUAAAGAGCUAUCACUUCUCACUCUUAAAUUCAAAUUCAAUCGUCCAAAACGAGCCGCCGCCGCCGGAGUAGGUGGAAGGCAGAAUUCCUGAAGCUGCUCUUACGCUGCACUUCAACACUAUGCCUCUCCGUCUUCAAACGGUGCGUUCAAUCACAAGCCCUAUUAUAUUCUAUUUCACAAUUUCCAGAUGUUGAACUCGCAUGACAUUGGUAAAAAGAAACUUUUGGAGCAAUGUUCUCUUUUUGCCAAUGUCAAGCGGGUUCAUGAUAUGCCCGGGGCCUUGAUGACAUUUUUGCCAACUCCAAUGCAUUUAUGGUGGCGCGAUGAACGGAAAUUUCAAUUGAGAAGAUAUUCUUGGUUCAAAAGGUAACAUCCUAAGGGUAUUCGCUCUUCGACAUGCCAAAACAUAAGUGCUAUGCAAGGAAGGUGAUUCUGUUGUAGCCAUGCACUGCAUUGGAGCUGACAUGCCAAAACAUAAGUGCUAUGCAAGGAAGGUGAUUCUGUUGUAGCCAUGCACUGCAUUGGAGCUGACAUGCCAAAACAUAAGUGCUAUGCAAGGAAGGUGAUUCUGUUGUAGCCAUGCACUGCAUUGGAGCUGCUUCUGGGGUCAAGGUUGUUACAUCAAGAGAUGACUUUUGACUCGUGAUUUGUUCUAGUUUCGAUUGUUCCAAAUGGGUGACUGAUAAAUGCUUUUCUUAUUCCGCUGAAUCAUUUUCCGGCUUCUAGAGAUGGACUUAUGACUAUGCCUUCCCAUAUUUCUUUGUGCUUGCAACACCUCGCUUCUACUACAGAAUUUGGGAGUGAAGCGUAGUUAUUGUUGUAUUCGCUUUGAAAUUAUCUGGUUAAAGUGGAGUCAUCUUCGAAUUAUAUACAGAGCCUUACAGGCUCUAGAUUAAAAGUGUCCUGUUCCUCACAGAACUUUUGCCCACUAUGACUCAUUUCUCAGCUUUCGUUUGAUGUUUCAUGAAAGUAAUGUUGUAUUUGAUCGUCCAUGUGCCUUGUCUGCUGCCAAGUUGUACGUAACACGACACUUAAGAGAUUGGAAAUGCCAAAGAUGUCAAUUGUCAACUUUCUAUUGUAUAUGACAUGAAUAUAUAA